rnacentral:rRNA from 1 species
GACGAACGCUGGCGGCGUGCCUAAUACAUGCAAGUAGAACGCACGGUUUAUACCGUAGCUUGCUCCACCAUAGACUGUGAGUUGCGAACGGGUGAGUAACGCGUAGGUAACCUGCCUGGUAGCGGGGGAUAACUAUUGGAAACGAUAGCUAAUACCGCAUAAUAUUAAUUAUUGCAUGAUAAUUAAUUGAAAGGUGCAAUUGCACCACUACCAGAUGGACCUGCGUUGUAUUAGCUAGUAGGUGAGGUAACGGCUCACCUAGGCGACGAUACAUAGCCGACCUGGGAGGGUGAUCGGCCACACUGGGACUGAGACACGGCCCAGACUCCUACGGGAGGCAGCAGUAGGGAAUCUUCGGCAAUGGACGAAAGUCUGACCGAGCAACGCCGCGUGAGUGAAGAAGGUUUUCGGAUCGUAAAGCUCUGUUGUAAGAGAAGAACGGGUGUGAGAGUGGAAAGUUCACACUGUGACGGUAUCUUACCAGAAAGGGACGGCUAACUACGUG